GCCAUUGGCCGCAGGGCCUACACAUGCAGUCGAACGGAUCCUUCGGGAUUAGUGGCGGACGGGUGAGUAACACGUGGGAACGUGCCUUUUGGUUCGGAACAACUCAGGGAAACUUGAGCUAAUACCGGAUAAGCCUUUCGAGGGAAAGAUUUAUCGCCAUUAGAGCGGCCCGCGUAGGAUUAGCUAGUUGGUGAGGUAAAGGCUCACCAAGGCUACGAUCCUUAGCUGGUCUGAGAGGAUGAUCAGCCACAUUGGGACUGAGACACGGCCCAAACUCCUACGGGAGGCAGCAGUGGGGAAUCUUGCGCAAUGGGCGAAAGCCUGACGCAGCCAUGCCGCGUGAAUGAUGAAGGUCUUAGGAUUGUAAAAUUCUUUCACCGGGGACGAUAAUGACGGUACCCGGAGAAGAAGCCCCGGCUAACUUCGUGCCAGCAGCCGCGGUAAUACGAAGGGGGCUAGCGUUGCUCGGAAUUACUGGGCGUAAAGGGAGCGUAGGCGGAUAGUUUAGUCAGAGGUGAAAGCCCAGGGCUCAACCUUGGAAUUGCCUUUGAUACUGGCUAUCUUGAGUACGGAAGAGGUAUGUGGAACUCCGAGUGUAGAGGUGAAAUUCGUAGAUAUUCGGAAGAACACCAGUGGCGAAGGCGACAUACUGGUCCGUUACUGACGCUGAGGCUCGAAAGCGUGGGGAGCAAACAGGAUUAGAUACCCUGGUAGUCCACGCUGUAAACGAUGAGUGCUAGUUGUCGGCAUGCAUGCAUGUCGGUGACGCAGCUAACGCAUUAAGCACUCCGCCUGGGGAGUACGGUCGCAAGAUUAAAACUCAAAGGAAUUGACGGGGGCCCGCACAAGCGGUGGAGCAUGUGGUUUAAUUCGAAGCAACGCGCAGAACCUUACCACCUUUUGACAUGCCCGGACCGCCACAGAGAUGUGGUUUUCCCUUCGGGGACUGGGACACAGGUGCUGCAUGGCUGUCGUCAGCUCGUGUCGUGAGAAUGUUGGGUUAAAGUCCCGCAACGAGCGCAACCCUCCGCUAUUAGUUGCCAUCAGUUUUGGCUGGGCACUCUAAUAAGAACCGCCGGUGGUAAGCCGGAGGAAGGUGGGGAAUGACGUCAAGUUCUCAUGCCUUAACAAAG
rnacentral:rRNA from 1 species